UCUCUAGAGCCUCACGUCCACCCACCCUAUCUCUGGCCACCGACGCCCAUCCUCUCCCCCGCCGGUGGAACACUCCCACUGCCGCAGCCGAAAACAGUCCCAAUCUCGACACCCAAAGGAGCACACCAAUGUGAGAGGCAGGAUAGAGCCCAUCCCCUCCGCCAUGGUCAACGGCCCGCCGCCCAUGAUGGCACUGACGCCCCCCAAUUCCCAUGCCAACGCGUAAGAGGCGGCGCCAUUGGAUGGAUGGCGCGCGUGCUAUAUGCGUGUGCGCGUGCGCCUGAAUGCUAGGGCGGCGUGCAGGAGCUCCCCCUUCUCCUCCCUUUUCCUCUCUCUCCCCCUGCGCGCGGUGGAGCUUGAGCUGGGCGGGACGCUAAGCGGGAGUUCUUGAGGGCAGAGGAAGAAGACGUUCAGGUAGAAGGCGUGGACAUUGGGGAGUAGCUACAUGGGAGGAGGGCGUGAACGGUGGGAUGGGUGUUGGCUGGCUGUUGAGUGCAUCAAGGCUGCUCUAAUGUUGUUAAUUUUCUUGCUCUGCCCUGAUAUACUACUAUUUGAGCAUAUAUAAAGAGAUCAUAGAGGAAAGCAACAGUAGGCUGCUGCGAUUUUGUUCAUGGUGCUACUGGUUUUGUUAAUGUUGGUAUUUGCUUACUGAUUACAACUGCUGCUACUAGGUACUCGCUUUAUGAUAUGAAUAUUAUUCAGUUAUUCUUUCUUUGUUGUUUCUAUCUGAAUAUUAUUCAGUUAUUCUUUCUUUGUUGUUUCUAUCUGAAUAUUAUUCAGUUAUUCUUUCUUGUUUCUAUCUCAAUAUUAUUCAGAUAUUCUUUCUUUGUCUAAAUCGAUUUAGGAGAAGAGAUAGAGAGAAGAGUUACUGGUGUGGUUCAUUUGGGAAAUUUAGUACUUUGUUUAUACUGCUUUGUUUUAGGGGAUGAAGUAAAUAGAAGAAGAAAUUCCUGGGAUGGAUCUCUAUGAAAGUUGUUACAUGAAGUAUUUUAUCUGGGAACGCCUAAUACCCCUGGUGUUGGGUUUGGUCUUCAUUCAAUCCCCAAAUUAUAUGGUCUGGUAAGAUUUUUCCUUUUGCAAAUUUGAUUGCUUAAUGGUGUGUACGCCAGCAUCCGUCUCCUGUUUUCCUUGCAUGCUCACUGACAACAGCGACAUCGGCGGGAGACGAGGAGUAUCCCGUGUUUGUUCUGACGAGCAUGCAAGCUCUGAAAUGUACAUAUUACCUUGACGAGGACACCCCAUCUCAGCUCUUGGCUUCCAGGGAUACGUGCUGCCAGCGGUAGCACAAUCACACUGGCACAGUGCCCCGCGUCGUCUGCACCGAUGCUGCUGUGUCCUACCUCCAUGCUUCACCGUUGUGAUUCCAUCCGCCAGGAGGUGCGCGCACAUAUAUUUCAUCCCCAAUACUGCCUAUGUGAUUUUCUUAUUUGAUCAACUUCGGGUCCGCAAAAGUUGAUAUUAUAUCAUCUCAAAUAUUUCUUAUUUGAUCAGCUCUUUUUAGAGAUAUAGACUAAUCAAUAGCUUAAUAAUUUAUAAUCACUUGGGCCAAUUACCUGAUAGCAGACAGGAAGAACGAUUGUUGAAGAGGCUUAGGAAGUCUGCUCACAGAAUUUUGCAUGGGCUAGAAUCAGGCAAACACGAUAAGUUGCAUGCAUGUAUGUAAAAUUCCGGAUAAUAGAAACAGGAAGGUGUAUGCUCGACAUGCUUGACCAUGUCAAAGCUCAUGCAUGAUCAAUUAUAUCCUGAGGUUAUUCGUAUUAUCUGGAAGGUGAGCUUCAAAAUUUUGUAAAGUAGUGUUUCCAACAGUUCAGAGCUUCUGCUUUACUAUAUUGUCAGUAUUUAGGUAGAUGGUCUCUCUUUUAAAUCCUGAUACAAGUAAUGCACUUCGGCAAGUUCUAUUUAUCUGUCUCUUUGCUGCCAAUAGCUGAUAUAAUUUCAUCGUGAGCACGCAAGACAAUAGCUCUAUUGUUGUUCAUGGUUGUUGGCCUAUGCCCUAUAGAGAGAAUAAUUAGUAUUUGCCUCUAUGUAUCAGACUGUAGCUGUGCCGUGUACCUAUUGUAUCAUUUUCAUCAUUGACAGAUACGGGUAGCAAAUUAUCAUUGCAAAAUGUUGUGGCUGCAGUGUUUGACUUGUUAAUUCUACAUUCCUUCCUUUCCGGUGAAGUGUUACUUUUGCGUUUGUUAUGUCUUAUUUUUCUCUAUGUUCAUUGCUUCUGUUGACUUCAGAUUCUGCAUAUGGGGAGAAACAUCCAAUUUUUCAAGACACAUCCCGAAUAUUUGUUUCCUGGUUGUCCGUUGUCAACGUUUUCUUUGCAUAGACCUGGUUGAUGUAAGAAAAUUUACAAGUAGUCCGAUACUAAUAUUUUUGUAUGUACAUACAUGUGCACUCACCCCUUCUAUAUAAAUAUGAUUGCUCAAAUAUGAUUCAAGAGCAUCUUUUACUUUACAUUUUGUUUCUUUGUUCCGUACAAAAUGUACUGAAAGUGUUGUCCAUUGGGUUUUUUGUUUGCCUAAAUAUACUAUAGACCCUAUAAAGGUUCCUUUUUUCCCUUUGUCUAAAUAUUCUACAGACCGUUAUAUAUACUACAUACCAUUUUUGGGUGAGAAGGUAGAUGAAGCGAGAUCUCGAGAGCUAAUAUUGUUGGCACAGAUGUUUUGAGCAAAUGACUAAAAGAAGGGUAUACUAUGCUUGGCGAAUGAUUCCAUGGCCUCAUAGAUGCCUAAAAUAUUGCUUUCGUUCAUGGUGGCAGUGUACGUAGAUUCUUGUAGCAGUUAAUGGGGUGCGGACUAGAGAUGGAUCUUGUGUUAACCAAAAGCUGGUUAUGGUGUGGUCACAAUUGCCAAAUGUGUGAACGGAUUUUCUAUUUGCCACAUGUUCUCUGUCCCCCUCAAUAUGGGACAAGAAGAAGAAAGCUGGGUAGGGAGAACCAAUAGUCUUCUGCAAGGUGAAAAUUGAGAAGAAAAUGUUUGCUCGGAAACCAUAUGUCUGAUUAUGCUCAAUGUGUACUUCACCAACAAUAUGGCAUCGCUUUGAAGGAUGUCUUGUACAUCUUUUAUUGUUCACUAGACUCUUGACACUUAAGUAAACAAUCCCACCCGAUUUUUUGUGAUUCCGUAGCGUAGCAUGGGCAUUUUACUAGUAUGGCAAAAUGUGGCACUCCUAGGCCUAGAACCAAACAGCCCCGUAGUAGUAAAGGCUGGCUUUUGCAUGAGAGCCCACUUCUCCACUUUUUCCUUGCCUCUCUUUCCUUCACAUAUGCAAAAAU
rnacentral:lncRNA from 1 species